GUGCUCGCUUCGGCAGCACAUAUACUAAAAUCGGAAUGGUACAGACAAGAUUGGCAUGGCCCCUGCUCAAGGAUGACAUGCAAAUUCGUGAAGGGUUCCAUGUUUUU
rnacentral:snRNA from 1 species